rnacentral:rRNA from 1 species
ACGCUGGCGGCAGGCUUACACAUGCAAGUCGAGCGGGCGUAGCAAUACGUCAGCGGCAGACGGGUGAGUAACGCGUGGGAACGUACCUUUUGGUUCGGAACAACACAGGGAAACUUGUGCUAAUACCGGAUAAGCCCUUACGGGGAAAGAUUUAUCGCCGAAAGAUCGGCCCGCGUCUGAUUAGCUAGUUGGUGAGGUAACGGCUCACCAAGGCGACGAUCAGUAGCUGGUCUGAGAGGAUGAUCAGCCACAUUGGGACUGAGACACGGCCCAAACUCCUACGGGAGGCAGCAGUGGGGAAUAUUGGACAAUGGGCGCAAGCCUGAUCCAGCCAUGCCGCGUGAGUGAUGAAGGCCCUAGGGUUGUAAAGCUCUUUUGUGCGGGAAGAUAAUGACGGUACCGCAAGAAUAAGCCCCGGCUAACUUCGUGCCAGCAGCCGCGGUAAUACGAAGGGGGCUAGCGUUGCUCGGAAUCACUGGGCGUAAAGGGUGCGUAGGCGGGUCUUUAAGUCAGGGGUGAAAUCCUGGAGCUCAACUCCAGAACUGCCUUUGAUACUGAAGAUCUUGAGUUCGGGAGAGGUGAGUGGAACU